UACAGGGGGUGCAAACGUUGCUCGGAAUUAUUGGGCGUAAAGCGCGCGUAGGCGGCUACUUAUGUCGGAUGUGAAAGCCCCUGGCUCAACUGGGGAAGUGCACCCGAAACUGGAUAGCUUGAGUACAGAAGAGGAUCGCGGAAUUCCCGGUGUAGAGGUGAAAUUCGUAGAUAUCGGGAGGAACACCAGUGGCGAAGGCGGCGAUCUGGGCUGAUACUGACGCUGAGGUGCGAAAGCGUGGGGAGCAAACAGG
rnacentral:rRNA from 1 species